AGCCCCGCCUUCACACCGUGGGAGGCAGCCCAGAGGCCACCGGCACAGGGUGGUGGCCCCCAGAUCAUACAGCAGUGGACACAGGGGAAGCAAACCUGAGUGAGGACACAAGAGCCUGGUCCGGCUCCGCUGCACAGGAUUGCCACCAGUUCACUGAGAGGAGUCAUUGAAAACAUGGCAUUGAGGACAGAGACUGCCACUUCAGAAUUUUCUACAUCCAACUGCUGAAGCCACUCGAAGAUAUUUCCCUCAGAGAACCAUAACCAGCUUUGGAGAAGAUGCUUCCACAUAGCUUGUUUCACAGCAUCUCAUCUCUCAUUAAAACCUUGUUGAGGGAGCAUUACUGUCUGAGCAAUGGACAUAGCUCUCAUACGAACCUUUUCAGCUAACACCGGAUAAGCCAGCUUUCUGACAGCCUCUUUCACAUCCUUGGUGCACCCUACAAUUUUUGGCAAAGUCUUUGCUGAUGGUGCAAUACAUGAUAA
ensembl:lncRNA novel transcript